AUUGAACGCUGGCGGCAUGCCUUACACAUGCAAGUCGAACGGCAGCACGGGGCAACCUGGUGGCGAGUGGCGAACGGGUGAGUAAUGCAUCGGAACGUACCUUUCAGUGGGGGAUAACGUAGCGAAAGUUACGCUAAUACCGCAUAUUCUGUGAGCAGGAAAGCAGGGGAUCGCAAGACCUUGCGCUGAUUGAGCGGCCGAUGUCAGAUUAGCUAUUUGGUGAGGUAAAGGCUCACCAAGGCGACGAUCUGUAGCGGGUCUGAGAGAAUGAUCCGCCACACUGGAACUGAGACACGGUCCAGACUCCUACGGGAGGCAGCAGUGGGGAAUUUUGGACAAUGGGGGCAACCCUGAUCCAGCCAUGCCGCGUGAGUGAAGAAGGCCUUCGGGUUGUAAAGCUCUUUCGGCCGGGAAGAAAUCGCACGGGCUAAUACCCUGUGUGGAUGACGGUACCGGAAUAAGAAGCACCGGCUAACUACGUGCCAGCAGCCGCCGUAAAAC
rnacentral:rRNA from 1 species